UGAAGUUUUAGGGAUGAGCUAAAAAUAGUCCCUAUGUGUCAUACUUUGGUUUCUAUUGUAGAGCUUGGAAGACCACAAACUGAACUCUGGAAGAAACUAGACAAGAAGAGGUUAGGGCCUCAGCCAAAGCACUACAGCUGCAAAUUGGCAUGCAGACUAUGGCACUGGUUUGGAGUAGGGAGACACAAACCCUGGGCUGGAUGAAUAUUUGGUCUGCUCUCAUACUUAUGAACUUACAGUUCUGAAGUUUCACAAAUGUGACAGCUGCUCAUCUCUCCAUGAUGAUGAAGCUUUCUUUGUACUGAUUUAUGUCCAUUCAUAUGCAAGAGAGAGAGGGGAAAAAGAAGUGCAUGCUUCAUUUGGAUCAGAAUAUGAGGCAGCCUCACCUCCAAUACUUUACACUGGUCUUAUCUGAUCCUGAACAUCUGCAGAUAAGCAUAGGAUGUGGUGGGAAUGGAGGACUUUACACACUGGCACUCAGAAGGAACCGGGCACUGCGCUUGACUCUGCAACUAGUCUUUGAGCAAAUCAAUGUGG
rnacentral:lncRNA from 1 species